rnacentral:rRNA from 3 species
CAUGCCGCGUGUGUGAAAAGGCCUUCGGGUUGUAAAGCACUUUUGUCCGGAAAGAAAACCUCUUGGUUAAUACCUGAGGGGGAUGACGGUACCGGAAGAAUAAGCACCGGCUAACUACGUGCCAGCAGCCGCGGUAAUACGUAGGGUGCGAGCGUUAAUCGGAAUUACUGGGCGUAAAGCGUGCGCAGGCGGUCUGUUAAGACCGAUGUGAAAUCCCCGGGCUUAACCUGGGAACUGCAUUGGUGACUGGCAGGCUUUGAGUGUGGCAGAGGGAGGUAGAAUUCCACGUGUAGCAGUGAAAUGCGUAGAGAUGUGGAGGAAUACCGAUGGCGAAGGCAGCCUCCUGGGCCAACACUGACGCUCAUGCACGAAAGCGUGGGGAGCAAACA